UUGUGAGAUGUGGUUAUAAUUUACUACGAUACUAGAUAAGAGCACUCAAAGAAAAGCCGGUUCCCAUUAUCCCAUAUACAGCUCAAGGAUCUUUCCGCAUGGGUUCUCUCGACUUGCCUCACGCUUCACCAUUCAAGGGAGGAAGCGAAACAUUUCUUAGGAACGUGUUUGAGAACAUACUGAAGACGUAUCUGAGGAAGAACCCGACCGCGAAGACAAUAUGGGAACUGGUUCAAUCGGUGGACAGUGAGAAGAUCUUCUAUGAUCACUUUACUUUCAGGACACUAAAGGUAGAUGGAUAUGGAAUAGAUUCCUUGUCGAGUUUCUUCAUGGAUUAUGGAUAUAAAAUUGGAGGCGGACUUGAUUUUCCAAAGAAGAAACUACGAGUUCUCUGGUUUUCUCCACCGGAAGUUCAAGUCCCCAAUGAUGGUCACGGUAUAGCCAACGGUCCUUUGCCACGACUUGUUAUAGCUGAGGUUCUUGUGGACGAACUAAACGUUGAAUCGCAGAGUACUUACAUGUAGGUUUCAUCAUAAUGCGAGGGCAAAAUCGUCAAUUCAGAGUGUAAUAGACAUAAUCCAGCCCCUUAAUGUCACACCAUGUACAAGUUGCUAAUAUGGAUCUUGUUUAUGUAUAUAUACCUAAUUCUCUCUUUCUAAAGUUGGUACAUUGCUUGUUUAAAUGUUAGCUAAAUACAUGUUAUAUUUUGUUAUUGGAUAUGGUAAGACCAAAUAAUUAUUACUUAAAUGAAAGGGUGCAGUAACUUUGCAUAGGUAGAUUUUUUCAGAAUGUCUUUCUUUUAAUAGAAUAGAUUUUUUCAAUUUAUGGCUAACUAGGGGAUAAUAAGGAAGUAUUUGAAACCACAAGGCAGUAAGCAAGCCAUUCUUUCAAGCACUUUAGGGUCUUUAAUUUGGGAGAAGUCUACAUGGACCGACUUUUACGCAACUUGCCAAGUAAAUGUUAUAACUUUCUGAUCAAUAAUCAGUACAUUUGAUGGUUAGAGCUAAUUUAAUCGUGAAUUAUAUAUAUGCACGUAAAGAGAAAGUGAAUUUGCGGCAUGGGGACUUAUCCACGGUUAUACAAUGAACCAUCUUGCUUUUGCUAUUCAUCGAUUCAAACACCGUUUCAGCGACAUCAAAUGUGUCAGAGAGUACCUUGAAGAAAAGGGAUUCAAACUCAAUAGUGACGGUGGAAUUCUCAAAGUGAGUCAAGAUGGUCUACUACUACAAGUCUCCUCCAUAUCGGAAAGGCUUGCUGUUGAAUUUUUUGAUGGAGUAACUAAAAUAAUCCCGGCUUCAUACAUUGAGUUCACUCAAUGUCUAGUUCUUCCACAGUUCAAAGAUAUGCCAGUUGAUGAGAUCAAAGAAUAUCAUAGACGUGAGGCCUUUGAACUCGAUAGUGCUAACCACGUAAUGGAAAGCUCACGUUUAGCAACACAAUUCUAAAACCAAACUUGUCUUGUUCGGCUCCGUAUGUCAAAUUGGUGCACAUGUGUGCUUGUAUGCAAUAUGUUCGAAUGUGUGAGUGUUUUCGAUAAGAUCUUUAUGUUGUUCUCUCUUUUGGAGUGAACAAUGUUAUAGCGCGUGAUGGUUAUAUAUAUCAUUGACGAGUGACCAAUUUGUAAACUGGAUCAUAUGGUUGAUGAAUAUGGUUUGUAAUAUUUGUUUGGGUUUUAAAUUUGUUUUCAGUUAUAAUAAUAUGUACUAUAUUAUGACUUGCAGAA